AAGGCGGCACCCCAAAGGGCUGUACUUUCCCGGUGCAAUGGCGUGUUCUGAAUAAUCUGCUCUGAGCCGUGAGACGGACCGAGACAGAUGA
rnacentral:ncRNA from 1 species